rnacentral:misc_RNA from 1 species
GCCGUUUAUUUCGCAUCGCUGUGCUUCCUGAAAUGAUGAAAGCACACAGACUUUUGCGCGACACCGAUAAUUACAGUGAGUUGAUGACGCCCUCGUGCGUCCACCGACCAUUUUUCUAUUUCUAACGAUCCCGAUCUUAUCUUGUACUAUCGUUUGAACAUCAAUAGGUAAGUGACUGUUCUCGAUCGAAUGUCUGGAAUAUUAUCAAGCGGCCAAUUGCUUAAGCUAUUUAAGCUAUGAACGUUGUUCGUAAGCAAAUUAAAUUUUUUACAUAAAAUUUCUGUACUUCUGCAAUUGUAAUGUACGUACAAAAGAAAGACAGAGCGACAAAGUGGAAGCAAUUGUACAAAAGAAAUAGCUGCUAUGGUAAAGCAGCUGUAGCCUUUGAUAUUCUCAAAACCACAUUGCACAGAGACCUGGGUCUAUCUCGAGAAUAUUCUCAGUUAAUAGAACCCUUCCAAACUGUGUUUUCGUGGAAGGAUUAAGCCUAUUAUUUGGUCUAACAGCAAUGAACACACCCAAACAUUAGGUUGUUCCAAAAGCUUCUUUCGUUUAAUAAGGAAAUGUUAGAUGCACAACAUUCUUUGUUUUAUACUAUUUUAUUGAAUUAUAGAAGAAAA